AAGUGACAUUCACCUGACUGGUGGCCAAUCAGUGGAACAAUCUUCACCAAGGUUGGUUGGCAUCUGAUUGCAGCCUGCAGAGGACUCAUCCAAUGAAGCCAUAAUUUCCUAUGAGGAAGUAGAGAUGCAAGUGGCACAUCUGGGAAUUAACAAGGAUUUGACUCUAAAGAUUUCCCUGGGUCUCUUAAACUCCGCUUCAUUGCCAAAAAGGAGAGUAACCACCAUCAGCUGAGGGUGUGGGACUUUUUCUAACUGCUCCAGCAGCAGCUAGUUUGCAGUUACUAUUGAUGUCUUGGAGAACACCAGGUUUACCUCUCAGGCUUCCUAAGAUUGAAAGGAGGGUGGUGAGAAGUCACAACUCAGGGCUGAGAUUUAACCCUGACUGGUACAAGAUUCUACAUGAUCUGGUAGCUAUACCCCUCAUCAUCUGGAUAUAAACACUCACUGAAUAAAUGGAGUGAUGAAUCAGUGAAGGAAUAGAGACAAAGCCUCA